AUCAUCUCAAAUAUCAAUUCAUAAAACGAAAGUGGAGUUUUGAUAUUCGAACAAGUGAAUUUAGACAAGGAUUGCAAAGGCAGCGAAAUAGUCUUUGCAAUCCUUGAGACAUAUAAGUUUCGAACUUCAAGGAUUCUAAUAGUAAUCAAGUCACCAAAAUAGGCUUGGUUGCUAAAGGAACCAAAAUCUAAUAGUAAUCAAGUCAGCGAAAUAGGCUUGAUUUCUAGAGGAACAUAAGAGAAACUUGUCUUUAGAAG
rnacentral:lncRNA from 1 species